GCUGCAUACCUAAGACACAUAUCCCGUCGCCCUGUAGUGAAAAUGGCAACCACAGUAAGCAGCUGGGGAUGCUGGUCUGCUGCUCUAAAUGUAAAGAUCUAGGUUUAGGGUUUGAAGCAUUUUCUUGUGUUCUACUUACAAUUUCACGUACAACCACCAGGGUAUCUAAAGUAGCCAGCGCACGAGGCAGCAUUUACAUGAUAGCCUGUCCCUUUUGUUUUUCAUGCAUUCCCUUUCAGUAAUUUUUUUGGACACAUAUUGAGUGUGUUGUCUUCCAAAUGUGUUUUUGGCUUUUUACCAGUGGGCCAUGUGGAUGGACUUUCCUUCUGGGCUGAAGGCUGCCAGCCCUCCUCUGAUCUUCUCCUUCUGUUUCAGGAAAGAGGCUCAAAUUCCAAAAUUGAGCAAAGCUUGAAAGUUUGAUAAGAGGGAUUGGGCACCCAGUGGGAUAUCACUAGCUGAUAACAGACAUAGAACUCCAGCUUUAUCAUAUAGACACAUGCACACAUACUUAUACAUACAAAUCAAAAGAGUAUGAAUAUGUUGUAAACUAGUAAUCAUACUGCAAACAAGAGAAAUUCUGUUAUCUAGGCUGUAGCAGAAUUGCAUACAGUUUUAAUAAUGGGAAUGUUUAGUAAGCAUCAAUAUAAUGUACCACUCAGAUUAUGAAAAAGGAUCUCACUGUGUGGGCAAAAAGGUAGAUAUGGCAAUAAAAAAACAUACUAUGUAAAAAGUUUGUAAAUGGUGAUAAAUUAUACUUUUUUCAGUUAUGCUUCCCUUUUGUACUGGGACAUUGCUUCUUGUGUAACAAAAUGAAUAAAAAGUAUAUAUUUUAACCAGAAAAGUAGUACUGCUAAAGAACAGAGGAAGAUACCUAUUUAAAGAACAACCUGCUAUAAAUGACUUCAUUAGGCAUAAAUUAGGAGGUGGAAGAUAAGAUGACACCUGGGGCACUCUGCUUCAUUUGCAAGAUUUUCUUUUGUGGUGUUAUCUCACAACAGCACCUCACCUCGCAAGCAUCUUCAUGUUGUUAUCAGAGUGACUGAAUAAUUUGCUAUUUUGUCUUAGAAAGCCUAAAAUUAACACAUCGACAUACUAACCUUAAUUGGCUUCUUCUCACUUAAAAUGCUCAUGAGCGCUAUAUCUACUAAAUGUCAAAUCUUAUGAAAUGCACCAUGCCAAUUAAUUAAGUUUCUAUUU